UAGGGAAUCUUCGGCAAUGGGGGGAACCCUGACCGAGCAACGCCGCGUGUGUGAAGAAGGUUUUCGGAUCGUAAAGCUCUGUUGUUAAGGAAGAACGAGUGUGAGAAUGGAAAGUUCAUGCUGUGACGGUACUUAACCAGAAAGGGCCGGCUAACUACGUGCCAGCAGCCGCGGUAAUACGUAGGUCCCGAGCGUUGUCCGGAUUUAUUGGGCGUAAAGCGAGCGCAGGCGGUUAGAAAAGUCUGAAGUGAAAGGCAGUGGCUCAACCAUUGUAGGCAAUGGAAACUGUUUAACUUGAGUGCAGAAGGGGAGAGUGGAAUUCCAGGUGUAGCGGUGAAAUGCGUAGAGAUAUGGAGGAACACCGGUGGCGAAAGCGGCUCUCUGGUCUGUAACUGACGCUGAGGCUCGAAAGCGUGGGGAGCGAACAGG
rnacentral:rRNA from 1 species